ensembl:lncRNA
UCAUUGGAAAAGACCCUGAUUCUGGGAAAGAUUGAAGGCAGGAGGAGAAGGGGACUACAGAGGAUGAGAUGGUUGGAUGGCAUCAUUGACUCAAUGGACACGAGUUUGAGCAAACUGCAGGAGAUAGUGAAGAACAGGGAAGCCUGGCAUGCUGCAGUCCAUGGAUCUCAAAGAGUCAGACACAGCUUAGCAACUGAACAAUAACCACAAAGUUAUGAGAUAGAGGUUGUCACUCAAAGAGCCCAGUCCCUGGCCUUCUCUUCCACACUUCUCAUCUCCUUUAAACAGGUGAGAGGAAAACUUAACCAUAGAGCAUUUUCACAGUGUUUGACAAUGGAAUGGUCUCACAAAUGAAGUGCAAACUCUUCAGUCAGCUCCCCCAAGUCGUCCAUACACAGGAUGACCAGCAUUGAAAUGUCUUAUCCUUCCAAACCAGAAAACUGUGUGUCUUCUUAGAUCUCUCCAUGGAGAGAAGCUUCACUCUUUUCUGGUUACUUUGCAAUCAAGGAUCCUUCAAAAAAUUUUUAUGUCAUUCUGAUCAUGUGACAUCUUUGUUUGAAACUCUUCAGCAGUUCCCCUUCACCUAAGGAGAAACUCCCAAAAUGUUAGCAAGGAUGAUAUUGAACACUGUAAACAACCAUGAUGGCUUCCAAGUGGACACUGGUCUAAGAACUGGAAAGGAGAGGUCUCAGCUCCAGUCACUACCUGCUGUGGCCAGUGUAGCAGGGUUCCAGAUGACUGGGAGCAAAGAUCCCUGCAGGAACAUCAGAGAAACAAUCAGCGCAUGCACAAGAAGCAGUCUAAUUUGUGCUGACUUGGCGCUCCUAAGUCCGCACCUCUUGCGUUCCAAUUGAUCAUGCAGGACUCACUGACCUCGGCUAAUCAGCCCACAUACUCUGCUUAUUUUUAACGAUAUUUCUUGUUGUAUUCUCAAGGCUUCAAAAAGAUACAUGACUGUUUUCCCACAACUACCCUUGAGCUGUGAGGAGCUCUGAAAGUCCUAGUGCAGGGAAGUUAGAUCUAGAGUGGAGGAUGGCAACCAGGGAGCCUGUUCCCAUUGCAACGAGGUAUUUUGGUUUUGUAGCAGGAUGUUGUAACCAGCUAGAUGUAAACCC